rnacentral:rRNA from 1 species
AAAUUGAAGAGUUUGAUCAUGGCUCAGAUUGAACGCUGGCGGCAGGCCUAACACAUGCAAGUCGAACGGUAGCACAGAGAGCUUGCUCUCGGGUGACGAGUGGCGGACGGGUGAGUAAUGUCUGGGAAACUGCCUGAUGGAGGGGGAUAACUACUGGAAACGGUGGCUAAUACCGCAUAACGUCGCAAGACCAAAGAGGGGGACCUUCGGGCCUCUUGCCAUCAGAUGUGCCCAGAUGGGAUUAGCUGGUUGGUGAGGUAACGGCUCACCAAGGCGACGAUCCCUAACUGGUCUGAGAGGAUGACCAGCCACACUGGAACUGAGACACGGUCCAGACUCCUACGGGAGGCAGCAGUGGGGAAUAUUGCAC